CUACAGUGUGGAGUACUGUGUAGAGAUAACUAUGUGGUUUACUAUUACAGAGCUAAUAGGAGCAGACUGGUGUGAGAGGACGUUUUCUAAGAGAAAAUGAUGAGAAGAUGGCGAGACAUCAUCAUGACAGUACCGUAACUAAGGCAAGGACAAAAUCUCCAGACAAUGUAGCAACAGACUGUAACUAAUAUACAGCUAUUGUCUGUGUGUCUCUAUGAGAAGUCCAAAUACAGGAAGUGAGGGUGGACAAGCAGGACUCUGUCGAGUGAGGACAAGCAGG